CACGCCCCUCGACGCCCAUCAGUGAUAGCUGAUCGGCAGUUUCCUCCAUCACAGCAGUCAUCUCAACGAGCAGCGCCGUCAGGGGAUCCGAGCUACCACCACUACCGCCACUGCACCAGGAUAAACAUUAGAGAAAAAAGAAAAGCAGACAUCAAAACGUGAGACGCUCCUCGGUUUGCUACUCGUAUCGUCCUAAACCUGCCCAGGGAACAAGAAGAGCAAUGGAAGGCUGGACUAGGCAAGGCAGAGUCUCAUCGCUGCUGGUGAUGGUCCUGAUCAUGAGCGAGUGUCGCCUUCGAGCAGCAGCAGCAGAAACAAAGGUAGAAGUGUUGCAGGAGGUUCAGAAAGCACUGGAUCACGCAGACCUGUCUCUGGCAAACUUGAGAGACUUGAUCAUAGGAAUCAUCUCCACGGAGGAAACAAAUACUACCACUGCUGCUACUACUGACUCGCCUCCUCCACCCACCACCACCACCACCACCACGACCACCCCUAAACCAACCACCACCACCACCACCACCCCCAUCCCCAAGCCGACCACCACCAC